CUCCACCUCAGCAGAAAUCUACAUUGAGGGAGCAUCUUCGUCAGAUUCUGACGAAGAAAAACAUUUUCAAGCAGAACUUCAUGAAAGAUCUCCUCAGUCCAAACCUGCUGUGGUCUUGGCAGAACCCAACACAUCUGCUGAAGACACCACACCAACUAUAACAACCACCUUCGCUGAACCACCAGCACCUUCUGACACAGAAGCAGUGCCACUGACUGAGCUGAUUGCUGACCCAAGCUCUAAGCAGGAAGAUACAGAACUUCUGAGUUCCAAGGUUGUCAGCUCUGAAAUACCUGUCCUAGAACCAACCAUAUCUGUAGUAGAACCAACCAUAUCUGUAGUAGAACCAUCAACGCCAAUAUCUGAGGUGGAACCCACUCCACCAAUUCCUCCACUGACCAUUGCCCCACCAUCACCUCCAUCCAGCCAAAGUAUCUCCGAUGUACUGUUAACAUCUCAACAGAGCAUUUCUGAGACUCUAAAUGGCAGCAGUAGUUAUCUUCAAAGCUUCGAUGUAAGGCCCAUGAUGGCAGCUCCUGU